rnacentral:rRNA from 1 species
GAACGACUCUCGACAACGGAUAUCUCGGCUCUCACAUCGAUGAAGAACGUAGCGAAAUACGAUACUUGGUGUGAAUUGUAGAAUCCCAUGAACCAUCGAGUCUUUGAACGCAAGUUGCGCCCGAAGCCAUUAGGCCGAGGGUACGUCUGCCUGGGUGUCACGC